rnacentral:lncRNA from 1 species
AAAACCCUAAAAACUCUCAUUUUUCCCUUUUCUAAAACUGCCACAGUUAUCCCGUUAUUCAUAUUUUCCGGUGAGCUCCACCACCCAAACACCACCUCCCCCCCUCUCCUUGUUUGCUGCUACCAGUAACCAAACCAACAACAGCCUAAAACCACAACCUAACCAUAUAUAUUUUUUGGCUUUGCUUAAUUAAUUGUUGAUUUGUUCUCUUAAUGUUUUGGGUUAAAUUUUAAUGAUUGUUAUUUUUUAAUGAAUGUGUUUGGCUACUAUUUGUUCAUUACUUCAUCAUUGUUGCACUUUUUUAUUCCAGUUUUAAUCGGUGAAUUUUGUAAUGUUAUUUAUCAAUUGUUUCCGUCAAUUUGAACAAAUGACCAAUGAAAAGAUCUAUCCGUCGAUUUUUGAGGUCUUCUCAUUUUUAAAGACGGAAAGUUUAGUUUAAAUUUAUAUAACACAUCAUACAGUACAAGUUAAAAUUGACUGAUGAAGAAAUUUUCUCCGAUUUCUAAGGCCUUUCAUCUUAAUAAAACUUAAGGGCUUAUUUAUUCCACUUUAGAAUAGUCCCCUGUAAAGUAUAAGUGUGUUGUUGGAUACCCGAUAAUAGAUUGGAAGACCAAAUAGUAGAUAUUGAAUCCUUUUAAUUUUGAUUACUAUUAUUUUGAUGCAUUUUUUUUUUUUUGAUUCAUGAAAAGUAAAUUGUACAAGGCUACAAGCAUGGCACAUAUUCAUGUAUUAUGUUAGUUAAAAUUGUUCCUUUUUUCAUACCCAAAUGUAGGACAAUUAAAAAUCAACAGUGUAGAUAUUUUGUUAGUUAAUUGUUUUUAUUUUUAUUACAUAAAAAUAGUUUAAAUAAAAAGUUGUAAAAGGGAAGUGAUGGCAACAUGUCCUAAAUUUGGUUUUCACCAAGAAAUCAUAUCUCAUUCUUGGUCAAAAAUAAAUUAAGGAUUUGUCACCAUCACUCUCUUUUCCAACUUUUAUUCAAAAUCUGUUGUUUUGGUAAUAAAAAAAAUCAAAAAACUAACAAAAUAUCCACACCGUUGAUUUUUAAUUAUCCUGCAUCUAAGAACAAUUUGAAUUUAUCAAAUUACAUGAAUAAGUGUUAUACUUAUAGUCUUGUAAAAUUAAUUUUUCAUGUAUAGAGAAGUAGUUCAUUGCAAGCAAAUUCUUAAAGGAAACAGUAAAAAAACAAUCCCUACAAGAAAAAAUAAAUUAAAAAUCGUCCUUCGAAGGUUAGGUUUUGAAAAAAUAUUUUGUUAACAAAACUAACCUUUGGAGUUUAUAAAAUAGCCUCUAGAGAUCGAUAUUUUUAUAGCAAUAUUCAUAAUGUAAUUAUUUAGAUAGUUUUUGUUAUGAAGAGAUUAUUCUCUUGUAGUUUUAAUAUUUUUCUAUAUUAGUUUUACAUAUAUAGGUCAAUUUUGACCAAACCCCAUUAUGUUUUAUGGAUCUUUAGUAUAUCUUUUUAUUAUAUGGUUUAUUGUAUUUUAAAGUUUACAAUUAUUGAUCUCCGCAGGACAUCUUUUUAUUUUGAUCCCAACAAACAAGUUCUACAAGAAAUAUUUUAUAUUGAAGUCCUCCUCACUCUCCAACCGCACAAAUCUUCACUCCCACAAAGUUUACUUUAUAUUUCUGGUGGAUCGUUUUAUAUAUCUUUGUUGCUCAUCACGUGUUUGUGUACAAAUUACCUAAAAGGCAAUUAGGGUCAAAUCUUUCUAUAAUAGCAGUAUUUGUUUAAAAUUUUUAUGAUUAUAUUAUAGUGAGAUAUUGCUAUAUAUGUAUAUUAGUAUUUAAUGUUUAGAUCUUAUUUAGAUACUAUAUAUAAACAAAAGUAUGUAAAAUUAGAAAGGAUGUGAAUGUAAAGAAUGACAAACACUUAUAGUCUUUCCCCGUGAAGUUAUGGCCAUGCACCAUUACACAAUAUAUAUUUUUUAUGAAUAUCUGUAUUUGAGUUUUACUAUGUUUAUUUAAUAAUGAAUUAAUUAAGGUAAAAAAAGAUAAUACAAAGGUGAUGAUAAUUCAGUUGAGCAACCACAACUGUAUAUAUAUCGAUGCGCCGCAAAUGGAACAAAAAUUUUCUAACCUAACUUUAUAAAUUUCUUGCAAGUUUGUACAAAAAACAGAUAUAGAUAGUAAAAGUGUAAACAUUUGAUAUUAUAUUUCUCUUUUGACAUUCAAUACUCACUUUAAUUGGUUAAAUUUUAAGGGGUAAAACAUUUCUUAUUAAAAAGGAUUAUAAUCUUAAGGCACAAACUUAAAUCUUCUAGGUAAGAAUGAAGUACUUAUCGACCACUUCACCAUAACAUUUUGUGGUCUAAACUCUAAAGUGAAACGAAAUAUAUAGUUCUAAGCAUUGCCUAUAAAUAGUCAGUGGUGGAUUCAUGAUUUUAAUUGAAGGAGUUCGAAACAUAAAAAUAAAAUAUAGUGCUUGAAAUUUGAAACUUCAAGGUGCAUUUUAACACCUAAACAACCGAGCCAAUUCAUGUGUUCACAUAAUUCAGAAUCGAUCGCUAAAUAUACAUAAAAUUCAAAAAAUUAUCUUCAUUUAUAGUGUAUUUUUUUGUAGAUAAGGUUCAGUUACACUUUCAUGAGUCAUGAGGCUCCAGAUCCGCUCCUAUAUAUAGAUAGUGUCAAAUUUCUUAUAAUACACGUCAAUGUAAGCAUAUUGUAUGAUUUUAUAAUAUUGUUAACUAGCUAUUUUUAAUACUCAAACUCGCAAUCUAUAAUUAAAAAGGAACAAGUAAAAACAACAAUCUUUAAGUUUAGUAGUUAAAACAUUUGAUGAUGACACUCUUUUAACUUUUUCUUACCAACUAAUUUGCAAGUAGAUAAUGUAUUCAGAAAGUGUCAUUUUAUUAUACGAUAACUUGUAAGUAAUCUAUAUAUAUAUAAUUUAAAUAAAAUGGUAGAAUUUAACAAAUUCAAAACCUUCGUAAAUGGACAAAGCCGGUCAACUAUAUUAAUUAAGUGGUAGAUAAUUUUCACACUAUUGCAUUAUUUAACAAUACUUCAUCCGUCUCAAAAUAUUUAUUCAUAUUUCAUUUUUUGAAAGUUAAUUUGGCUAAAUUUUGAAGCUAAAUUAAAUUAAUAUGAUAUUUUCAAAUUUUAGCUUAGAUGUUCAAGAACUUCAUGAAAAAUAUUAUAAAUUGUAUUUUUUUCUAAUAUCAAUAUGGUAAAAACAUCCUAACAGUUGAUCAAAGUACAUUCAAUUACUUUGCUAUAAUAAAUUGAACAUUGUAUGUGGGUAAAUAUUUACCAUAUUUAGGACUCAAUUUAAUGAAUCAAUCGAGACGUAAGUAUGAUGUAAUUAGAUCACGUUAGAGUAUUGCUUUUGCUAAAUUUAUUAGCUCCACUAAUUUGAAAUUCCAUGGUGUAGUGUAGGAUAUAAAUUCUUAGUAAGAUUGAUUUAAAAUAUAAAAAGUAAAUACUGAUGAAAAAAAAAAUCAACAUAUAAUAAACAUAUAUAAAAAUAUAAAUAAAAGGUAACUUAUAGAAAUUUCACUAUUUUACAUUUAGGAGCUAAUUACUUAAAUGUACUCUAGUUUGCAAUAAGUAGAUUUUGGUACGUUCAAAUACACUGAAUCUAAGUGGAUUCACAUGUAUCUGAGAAACAAAGACAAACUCACAUCCUUUGCCUCCCUCACACAGUGGCGGAGGGAGGAUUUUCAUCAAGGGGGUUCAAAAAAAAAAUUAAUCACGUAAAUAAUAUCUACAAAUAAAUUAAACGGGUCGAAUCGGAUAUAAAACGGGUCGGAUUAAACUGUCGAAUCAAGAAGAAAAGGGUUUUUUAAUAUUUGACUUUAUAAUUAGGGAUUAAACUAAUAAAUCCUAAAUUUCCAAUCAUCGUUUUAUUUUUUUGGAACUAAACAUCAUUUUCUGAUUGCAUUAUUAUAUUUUUUAAAUAAAUUAAAAACGCCUAAAAUAUAAGCUGAUAAAAGAAAUGCCUCUGCCCGGAUUCGAACACGCGACCUCGCGUGCAGUAGAGUGAAUUCCUGAACCCCCAACGCCACUGAGCUACGCCUUUGGUGUAUGUUCAGGGGGUUCAGUACUAUAUAUAAACACGUAUAUUAAAAAUUUAAUCUUAUAUAUAUAGUGUAAUUUUUCGACGAAGGGGGUUCGGAUGAACCCCCUUCGUCCUACGUAAAUCCGCCCCUGCCCUCACAUCUUGCACGCCACUCUCCUAUGUGUUUGUAUCUCAGAUACAUACGAAUCACACCAGACACAUAUAAAUACAUGUCUAAUAUGUAUCUAGUGUAAUUCAAUGUACCUGGAAUAUACAAAUCUCUUUCCCCACCUCACUCACAUCUCCCUAUUUCAAUGUAUUUGUUGAUAGCAAAAAUACAAAUAUUAUCUUCCUUAAUAUAACCACCCCCUCUUUGGAUUUCACUACUUUGACUCUAACCAGAAAUUCUACACGUUUUGUUUAUGAAUAUAAUAAAUGAUCUAAAAAAAUAUCUUCUUGUUCUGGAUUCUUCGUCAUUUUUAAAAAUAAAAUAAAAAACUACAACUCUACAAAUUGAUUAUUUCCACGAUUUUAUACACGUUAUGCAAAUGUAAAGAUAAGACAUUAAAUAUUUUGGUUAUGCUUCUAUCAAAAUUGGUUUUGAGAUGGUGUGUUGAUCAUGGAUUCAAUAUUCUUACUAUUGAAUCUGAUUUCAUGAUUGUGACAAUGACAUUCAUUCUUUGCUAGUUCAACCAUAUUUUUAGAGAAGGGAACUCUACUACUGAUCUUUAAGUAGUUUGUGGAGGAUAAGAUGCACACAAACUUUAUCUCCCUACCUUUGUAAGGUAGAUACGAUAGACUAUUUCCGCUACAUCCUCGACUCAAAAGAGAAUUAUCUUUGGGAUUCUUCAUAUCGGGACUGCUCAACUGAAACUAAUUUUGGCCAAUAUUCAAGUCCUUGGGCCUAAUACAACGAUAGCCCAAUUAUGACAUCCUUAACCCAACUAUAUAGUUUGUUUUUAGUAUUUUAAUCCUCAGUUUACUUGCUUAAAUAAGCAAUUCUUUGUACAAUUUUAUUCAGAGAGAGAAAUACAUAAAAUAUCUCAAACUUGUUCUUCAAGAUUUUCUGUGAAAUUUUUGAGAAAAUAAUCUUAUUUGAUUGGUUUAUUAAUUAUCUUUUCUAGUAAAUUGAACUAAGUAAAUUCAAAAAUCGGCAACGUUAUUUAUUAUAUUCUAAAUAUGUAGUGUAAUAUUAGUAACUCAAUCUUUAUAUUUUUUUAAAGAAUCUUGACAAUUUUUAAAAUAAUAUAUGAUUAAAUGUGAACAGAUUUAGAAUAAACAAAUCAAGAAGUAAAAUAAAGAAGAAUACUGCAAAGCAAAAACGAAAAAAAACACAAAAGAUUAUAAUUAAGAAAGCUUAAUGAAGCAGAACACUUAACGAGGCAUGACAAGGCAUUUUAAUUUAGUGAAUUAAGGUUAGUCUUUUUCUUUCUGUUCCACUUUGUUUGUCAUCUGUAAUUUUCACAUAUUUAUUUCUUCAUGUUUUGAAUCCCUUAGUAAAAACUUUAUUUUCACCACAUAUAGUGCAAUACAACACUUAAAUAGUUGCAAUCUCAUAUAUAUGAAUUAUAGAUUUAUAGCCUCUUACAAUCAUUGUAAAUCGGUCCAUGUGGAUCAAAAUGACUUGCAAAGCGACCAUAUAAUAUUUGUGGGAAGCAUUGAAGAUCAAGUACAAAGAGCAUGUAAAGACCGGGUUCCGUCGUCAUAGAGAAGCCAAUGGGAAAAUUUUUGGGUCAGAAAACUUUUUCGUAGUAAUUUGGAUUUUUCCAACCUAGUCCAAAUUUGGACGGAAUCGGAGUCAUUAAGGUGUAGGCAAAUGGUAACAAUUGGGUGAUUUAUUUAAAAUUUUGAUUACAUGAGGGGAUAGAUAACUCGUUAAGGAAUCCGUACGGCUUUACGGAAUUGAAUUCGGGCGAUUAGAAAUCCCAGAAUCGAUCUUAGCGUGAAUGGUAUUUUCUGAGCAUCGUUGGUUAGAGGUGUGUUAAAUGGGGAUUUUGGAAUUUUUAAAAUAGCUCACUGGUUCGUGCAAGCCGCCUUGGCAGGGAUUUUUGCCACUCUGGCGGGGACGCUACAACGGGGUGAGGGCCGCUGUGGCGGGCUCGAUGCGACUUAAGGUCGUUAAUAAACCCCUAAACGACCUUAUUAUGAACUUUUCGACUUUUAGAGCUAAGGAACGAACCCAGGCGACUCCUACUCGUUUUUCACCAUUCUUAAGGCUAAAGGUAAGCUUUUCACUCCCCGAAUCCGAUUUUCAAUCUGUAGAAUGUAGUAGAAUGGGUAAUUAAUGAUGGGGGAGGGUUUUGAUCUAGAAUCUAUGGUGGAAACAACCCUAAUUGGGAUAAUUAGGAUCAUGGGUAUGAUCUAGGGUUCAUAGAAUUGUUAGUGAUUCGGGUAAUUAGUGAUUGUUUAUUGAUUCCCGUGUUAUUAUGAUUAUUUGUAGACCAAGAACAAGCGGAACGGAUCAGGAAAGGGAAAGAUCAAGUUUCUUAGGAUUUCAAGAUUGUUUCGAGGUAGGUGAUGGCUGUGAUUCUGUGAUUGUGUGAUAUAUGUUUGUUCUUGCUUCAUUAUGAUACUUGCAUGUAUUUGAAUGUUGCAUUAUUGAUCACACUUGAUAUAAAUGAGAUAGAUAUAUGAUGAUUGUCAUGAAACCAUGACUUAAAUGUGUGAUCUUGAGGAUGUACUUGUGAUUGUGAUUGUGAUGUAUUGAAUGCAUCGGUUGCCACGUUCCAACAUAACUAAGUUGGAUAGGUUGCACGUUCCGGCAUAACAAUGGCAUCGGUUGCCAUGUUUUGGCAUAAUUAUCGGAUCGGGUACCACGUUCAGGUAUGUUAACUGUUUGGGUUUGGGUUCCAUGAAAGGACCAAUGAUUUGAUAUAAUUGUGUAUCUUGAGAAAUGUGAAGUUGUUCGUUGUUACUAAAUGUUACUAAUAUUGUAUAUGUUCGAUAUAUGCAUGUGAUUAUAUUAUUGUGAUGACUUAUAUAUGUUGCACUUAGUGGGAUAGCCGCGUGAUCCUACCAGUACACUAUGGUUAUGUACUGAUACUGCACUUGCUCUUAUUUUUGUUGAGUACAGGGCAUCUUCAAGCGACUACUGACAAACCUCGCUUAGGAGAUCAGUGAUCUUUCGAAUUCAAGGGUGAGUCAAUUCUUCCAGGCUACCAUGGGUUCUCUUUCGUCUAUGUCUACCAUUUUCGGACUUAGACUAUGUACUAGUUAGUUGAUUAGUUCAUUUGAUUGGGGUUGCAUCCCUUCUUGUUUAGACUUGUUGAACUUUAGAUGUUUUGGUACAUUGACUUUCAGGUUCUAGGUUAUUUCUUCCGCAUUGUUUAGUUCGUUGUUAGACUUUUGUUGGAGUUUAUGGGAACUCCUUAUUUCUUUCCUUAGUAUUUAAAUUUCUUUCGUAUCCUUAAAUGCCUUAGUUUUAGAUUAGUUGCUUGGUUUGAGUUGUAGUAGUGGUUCUCCCAUCGGAGUGUUAAUGUGGGUGCCAAUCACGACGAUCUGGGUCAUGACAAAGUUGGUAUCAGAUCCUAGGUUCGUUGAUCUUGAUGUGCCAAAAUGAUUCUAGUAGAGUCUCGCAGAACGGUACAGGGACGCCUUUACUUUUCUUCGAGAGGCUAUAGGACUUUAGGAAAUCUCUCUAUUUUCUCUUGUCUCCUUUCGUGCUGUAACUUGAUUCCAAUUGGUAUCUAUCGAUUCGAAUUGGUAUCUAACAUCAUUCACUCUUUUGUCCACAGAUGGUUAACACUAGGUCUAAUGGCGUCAGCCCGUAGCUCCCGUCAAUGCUCCAGCUGAGAAAUUUGCAGCGAGAGGUCGCGGUCGAGGCAGGAGUAGAGGAAGAGCUAGGGUUAUAGGCCGAGAAAAAGUGGCGCCUGCUGGGAAUGAGGUACCGGUUGAGAAUGCCCUUGUGAAUGAGAACCCUUUGGUGCAUCGUGAAGAGUUAGAAGAGGAUAUUGAGGUUGAUAAUGUUGAGGAGGUUGGACAAGAGGAAGAGGUGCAGACUGAGACUACAAAUGUUCCUCUCAUAGAUCCAGUCUUAGCUCGACAGAUCAUGUCAUUCUUGAAAGGGUUGGUUGGUCCUGGAGUGCUUCCUUCUGCUCAAGCGACUCAAGUUCCUACUAAUCCUCAUAUUGCUAGCAUUGCGCCCAAGACGGGUGGAACGAGAGGUAAUAAUGUUUUCUUCUGUCCUUUGUUGGGUUCUGUUAUGACUGGUAAUGAGCAUGAAAUGUUGAUUAAGUUUUUGAAGGUAAAGCCUCAUGUGUUUCUUGGUUCUGAGAGUGAGGAUGCUUAUGAGUUCAUCUUAGAUUGCUAUGAGAGGCUUGAUAAAUUGGGCAUUGUUCAUCAACAUGGGGUUGAGUUUUUUGUCUUUCCAACUUCAAGGUGAGGCCAAGCAGUGGUGGAGAGCUUAUAUGGAAUGCAGAUCUUCUACUUUACCUCCACUUACUUGGACUCAAUUUCAUGCUCUGUUCUUGGAAAAAUAUGUGCCUAGAACUUUGAGAGAUUGUAAGAAAGAUGAAUGUAUGGCUUUGGAACAAAGUGGUACGUCUGUGGCUGCUUAAAAGGCCAAGUUUCACGAUUUGUCUAGAUAUGCUACUCAAUUGGUAACUAUUGAGGAGAAGAGGAUUCUACUUAUUUAUUAGGGGACUGAAUUCUGAGUUGCAAGUACUAUUUGUUCAUAUGACUUCUGCAGAGAGGAGCUUCAAUGAGGCUUGGAAAAAUAUGUGCCUAGAACUUUGAGAGAUUGUAAGAAAGAUGAAUGUAUGGCUUUGGAACAAAGUGGUACGUCUGUGGCUGCUUAAAAGGCCAAGUUUCACGAUUUGUCUAGAUAUGCUACUCAAUUGGUAACUAUUGAGGAGAAGAGGAUCUACUUAUUUAUUAGGGGACUGAAUUCUGAGUUGCAAGUACUAUUUGUUCAUAUGACUUCUGCAGAGAGGAGCUUCAAUGAGGUAACAGAUUAUGUUAAGAAAGUGGAUGGGGUGAGGCGAGACGGUCAGACUAAGGCAUUGGCAAAAAGGGCUAAGAUUCCAGGCUACUUUCAAGGUUCUUAUUCCAGAGGUUCAGGGAGGCCAACGCUUGCAGCCAAGCCAAUUCAGUCCGAUAUGCCCGCCUCUACAGGUAAUUACUCAGGAACUCCAUCUCAUCAUUUUAAGGAUAGCCAGAGAGUCGCCCAUUCGACGGGUGACAGACCAUCUUUUGAUCGUACUUGCUACAAUUGUGGAGAACCUGGGCAUAUGAGGAGAUUGUCCCCACUUACGUGUAUUAGAUGUCGUGCAACAGCCUUCUAGAGCAGUGGUACCCGCGUGGAAUGGUAAUAAUGGUAGAGAACGUCCAUAAGGUGGGCGAGGAGGUAAUCAGCGAGGUCGUGAAGGUAGAGGAUAUGGUAAUGCAGGCAGGGGUAAUGCGCAACCAGGCAGGGAAAUGGCUUGUCAAGAUGAUAGGGCUCAAUGUUAUGCUUUUUCGGGCAAAAAUGAGGCAGAGACGUCUGAUUCGGUGAUCACAGCUACUAUUUUUGUUUGUGACCGAAUGACUAAUGUGUUAUUUGAUCCAGGUUCUACUUAUUCAUAUGUAUCCGUGAGAUUUGCCUCAGAUUUUGAUAUGAGUUGUGAUUUUCUUAAUGCCCUUAUUCAUGUUUCUACCCCAGUUGGAGAGUCAGUCAUAGUUACCCAUGUCUAUCGUGCAUGUCCUAUUUUGUUUAUGGGUUUUCAGACUUGGGCUGAUUUGGUGAUUUUGGAUAUGACUGAUUUUGAUAUAAUCUUCGGCAUGACUUGGUUGUCCCCCUAUUAUGUUGUACUAAGUCUGUAACUCUAUAAAUUUUGGAAAGGGGAAAAUCAGAGUGGGAAGGGGUGUACAAGCCUAAGCAAGCUAAGAUUAUAUCCUCCAUUCGGGCUAGUAAAUUAGUAUAGCAGGGUUGUUUGGCUUAUUUGGCUCAUAUUAUAGAUGUUGAGAUUGAAGCUCCAUCCAUUGGGUCUAUUCUUGUGGUGUCAAAAUUUAGAGAAGUGUUUCCUAAUGACUUGCCUGGUAUGCCUCUAGAUAGAGAUAUAGAUUUUUGCAUUGAUUUUGAGUCUGGUACUCGUCCCUUUUCCAUCCCUCCAUAUCGCAUGGCUCCAACAGAGUUAAGAGAGCUUAAAAGCUCAAAAUCCAAGAGCUUCUUGAUAAGGGAUUUAUUCUUCCUAGUGCUUCCCCAUGGGGGUGCUCUAGUUUUGUUGUUAAAGAAAAAAAAUGGUAGUAUGAGAAUAUGUAUAGAUUACCGGCAAUUGAAUAGGGUCACUAUUAAAAACAAGUACCCCUUUGCCUCGAAUAGAUGAUUUUUUUGACCAAUUGCAAGGGGCAACAAUUUUCUCUAAGAUUGAUCUAAGAUCCGGUUACCAUCAAUUGAAAAUUAGGCCUGAGGAUGUGCCCAAUACAACAUUUAGAACUCACUAUGGGCACUAUGAGUUUUUGGUUAUGUCUUUUGGUUUGACCAAUGCGCAUGCAGCUUUCAUAAGUUUAAUGAAUGAGGUGUUCAAGCCAUUUCAUGAUUCUUUCGUUAUAGUCUUUAUUGAUGAUAUUUUGGUUUAUUCGAAAAGUAAGGAAAAGCAUGCCGACCAUCUUCGUAUUGUUUUGGGUAUUCUAGGGAAGCAAAGAUUGUAUGCUAAAUUUUCUAAAUGUGAAUUUUGGUUGACUUCGGUUGCAUUUUUGGGACAUGUAGUUUCAAAAUAAGGGGUAAUGGUAGAUCCUCAAAAGAUUAAGGCGGUUAAGAAUUGGGUUCGGCCUAGCUCAGUGACAGAAGUUAGGAGUUUUGUGGGGCUCGCCAGCUAUUAUCGUCAUUUUAUGAAGAAUUUUGCUUCUAUUGCUACUCACUUGACUAAUUUGACCAAAAAGGAGAUACUAUUUGAAUGGACUGAAAAAUGCGAGGAGAGCUUUCAAAAGCUCAAGACUCUCUUGACCACCGCACCUAACCUAGCAUUACCAGUGGAAGAUAAGGAUUUUAUUAUUUAUUGUGAUGCUUCACAUUCUGAUUUGGGUGCUGUGUUGAUGCAGGAUAAAAAUGUUAUGCCUCAUGUCAAUUGAAGGUGCAUGAAAGGAAUUAUCUCACACAUGAUUUGGAGUUGGCAGCGAUAGUGUUUACUCUUAAGAUCUGACGACAUUACCUCUAUAGUGUUAAGUGUGAGGUAUUUAUCGAUUAUCGUAGUUUGUAGCAUGUGUUCACUCCAAAAGAUCUGAAUUUAAGACAGCGAAGGUGGAUGGAGUUACUUAAAGAUUAUGAUGUGACCAUUCAAUACCAUUCGGGCAAGGCUAAUAUGGUGGCAGACGCUUUGAGUCAAAAAAUGGUGAGUAUAGGUAGUUUAGCUUGCUUGAAUGUAUCCAAGUGACCCUUGGCUAAUGAAAUUCAGACCUUGGAGUCUAAGUUCAUGUAUUUGGGCAUCUCAGAAAGAAGUGGGUUGUUAGCUAGCAUUGAAGUAAGGGUCACAUUCAUGGAUGAGAUCAAUGCCAAACAAUUUGAAGAGGAAAAUUUGGAGGAGCUUAAAAAGAAAACUGCUAUUGGUAAGGCACAAGAGACCACCCUUGAUGCGGAUGGUGUGCUCAAUUUUAAAGGGAGAAUAUGUGUUCCUAGAGUAGAUGAGUUGAUUGAGAAAUUGUUGGCAGAGUCUCAUGGUUCGUGAUAUUUUAUCCAUCCGGGCAUAACCAAGAUAUACCUAGAUUUGAAGCGAAUUUAUUGGUGGCCGGGCAUGAAGAAGGACACAGCGGAGUUUGUGGCGAAGUGUACAAAAAAUUGUCAACAAGUAAAGUAUGAACAUCAAAGGCCGCAGUUUUGCUUCAAAGAAUGUCAAUUCCGGAGUGGAAGUGGGAAAGGAUAGCCAUGGAUUUUGUGGUUGGUCUUCCGAAGACUUUGGAAAAGUUCGAUUCUAUUUGGGUAGUGAUUGGUAAAUUGACUAAGUCAGCCCAUUUUAUUCCGGUAAUAAUAGAUUAUAAUGCUGAAUAAUUGGCUAAAGUUUAUGUGAAAGAGAUAGUGAGGUUGCAUGGGGUACCCAUCUGUAUCAUCUCAGACCGCGGUACACAGUUUACCUCCAAGUUUUGGAGGAAGUUACAUAAUGAAUUGGGCACACAACUCACUUGUAGUACAAAUUUCCAUCCACAGAUGGACGGGCAGUCAAAGAGGAAUAUUCAAGUGCUAGAAGACAUGUUGAGGGCAUGUGUGAUUGAUUUUGGANNNNNNNUGGGCAGUCAGAGAGGACUAUUGAAGUGUUAGAAGACAUGUUGAGGGCAUGUGUGAUUGAUUUUGGAGGGCAUUGGGAUAAAUUCUUACCUUUGUGUGAAUUCUCUAAUAAUAAUAGUUAUCAAUCCAGCAUUGAUAUGACACCAUUUGAGUCACUCUAUGGGAGGGGAUGUAGAUCACCCAUAGGAUGGUUUGAGGCUGUAGAUGUGAAACCAUUGGGGGUUUAUUUAGUAAAUAAUGCUCAAGAUAAGGUGAAGAGUAUUCAAGCUAAGUUUCUAGCAGCCCAGAGUAGACAAAAGAAGUAUGUGGAUCAUAAGGUAAGAGACAUGGCAUUUCAAUCCGGUGAAAAUGUUCUUCUUAAGGUAUCACCUAUGAAAGGGGUGAUGAGAUUUAGUAAGAAAGGUAAGCUAAAUCUGUUAUACAUUGGUCCCUUUGAGGUUCUUGAAUGUGCUGGACCGGUAGCGUAUAGAUAGACCUUACCUCCUAAUCUAUCGGGUGUUCACCCGGUAUUUCAUGUGUCCAUGUUGAAGAAGUAUCAUGGUGACGGGGAUUAUAUCAUUAAGUGAGACUCAAUUGUGUUAGACAAAGACCUCCAAUAUGAGGAGGAACCGAUUGCAAUUCUUGAUCGUGAUGUGCGUAAGUUGAAGACCAAGGAAAUUAAGUCCGUGAAUUGUUUGUCGAUUCAGGUACUACUUCAUUCCUUUCUUAGCCUACUUUUUUUCCUAAGUUAUUACUCGGGGACGAGUGAUGGGUAAAUUGGUAUCUACUGUAACGACCGAGUUUCGUUGUUAUAGAGAAGUCAACAGGGAAAUUUUUUGGGUUGGAAAACUUUUUCGUAGUAAUUUGGAUUUUCCCAACCUAGUCCAGAUUUGGAUGGAAUCGGAGUCAUUAAGGUAUAGGGAAAUUAGGUAACAAUCGAGUGAUUUAUUUAUAAUUCUGAUUACAUGAGGGGAUAGAUAACUCGUUAAGGAAUCCGUACGACUUUACGAAAUUAAAUUCGGGCUAGUAGAACUCUUAAAAUUGAUCUUAGCAUGAAGGGUUUUUUUUUAGCUUCGUUGGUUAGAGGUGAGUUGUGAAAUGGGGAUUUUGGAAUUAUUAAAUUAGCUCAUUGGUUCGUGCAAGCUGCCUUGGCAGGGAUUUUUGCCGCUCUGGAGGGCCGCUACAGCGGGGUGAGGGCCAUUGUGGAGGGCUCAACGCAACUUAAGGUCGUUAAUAAACCCCUAAAUGACCCUAUUAUGUACUUUUCAACGUUUAGAGCUAAGGAACGAACCCCAGGCGACUCCUACUCAUUUUUCACCAUUCUUGAGGCUAAAGGUAAGUUUUCACUCUACGAAUCCAUUUUUCGAUCCGUAUAACAUAAUAGAAUGGGUAAUUAAUGAUGGGGGAGGUUUGAUCUAGAUUCUAUGGUGGAAACAGCCCUAAUUGGGAUAAUUGGGAUCAUAGGUAUGAUUUAGGGUUCAUAGAAUUGUUAGCGAUUCGGGUAAUUAGUGAUUGUUUAUUGAUUCCCGUGUUAUUAUGAUUGUUUGUAGACUAAGAACAAGCGGAACAAAUUCGAAAAGGGAAAGAUCAAGUUUCUUAGGGUUUCAAGCUUGUUUCGAGGUAGGUGAUGGUUGUGAUGUAUGUUUGUUCUUGCUUCAUUAUGAUACUUGCAUGUAUUUGAAUGCUGCAUUAUUGAUCACACUUGAUAUAAAUGAGAUAGAUGAAUGAUGAUUGCCAUGAAAUCAUGACUUAAGUGUAUGAUUGUAAGGAUGUACUUGUGAUUGUGAUUGUGGUGAGUUGAAUGCAUCGGUUGCCACGUUCCGGCAUAACUAACUUGGAUCGGUUGCCACGUUCUGGCAUACCAAUGGGAUCGGUUGCCACGUUCCGGCAUAAUUAUUGGAUCGGGUACCAUGUUUCGGUAUGCUAACUGUUUGGGUGUUUGGGUUCCAUGAGAGGACCAAUAAUUUGAUAUAAUUAUGUAUCUUGAGAAAUGUGAAGUUGUUCGUUGUUAGUAAAUGUUGAUAAUAUUGUAUAUGUUUGAUAUAUGCAUGUGAUUAUAUUAUUGUGAUGACUUAUGUAUGUUGCACUUAGUGGGAUAGCCGCGUGAUCCUACCAGUACACUGUGGUUGUGUACUGAUACUGCACUUGCUCUUAUUUUUGUUGAGUACAGGGCAUCUUCAAGCGGCUACUGACAGACCUCGCUUAGGAGAUCAGUGAUCGUUCGAAUUCAAGGGUGAGCCAAUUCUUUCGGGCUGCCAUGGGUUCUCUUUCGUCUAUGUCCACCAUUUUUGGACUUAGACUAUGUUCUAGUUAGUUGAUUAGUUCAUUAGAUUGGGGUUGCAUCCCUCUUGUUUAAACUUGUUGAACUUUAGAUUUUUUUGGUACAUUGACUUUCAGGUUCUAGAUUAUUUCUUCCGCAUUGUUUAGUUCGUUAUUAGACUUUUGUUGGAGUUUAUGGGAACUCCUUAUUUCCUUCCUUAGUAUUUAAAUUGCUUUCGUAUCCUUAGAUGCCUUAGUUUUAGAUUAAUUGCUUGGUUUGAGUUGUAGUAGUGGUUCUCCCAUCGGAGUGUUAGUGUGGGUGCCAAUUACGACGGUCUGGGUCGUGACAGAGCACCACCCAAAAGUGAGGGUGCACGGCAAGUCUAAGUAGUAAGAAGAAAAUGAUACAAUGCAAUGUCAAGACUCAAGUGUAGUGAUGCAUAUCUGACCUAGCGAUACACAACUAUUGUCUCUUAAUCUGGGACUCAUAGGGGACAUAUAUGUCCAUGCAUUCAUCGCGGCGUACGACACGACUCUCGAUAAUAAAAUUCACCGUGACGUACGACACAUACUUCAAAUCAUAAUAUCAAUUGCGGCGGGCGACACGUCCCUCGAAUUGGUACAUCCUUUUAAUUCCUUAUUCCUCCUCAAUUCAUGUAACACGUGUCACAAUCAUGUCUCUGAACCAAUGCAAAUGACAUGUUCACCCAAAUAAUGAUAAAUGUCUAUUUCCAUAUCAAUGCACAAUUCACAACAAUACAAUUGUGAUAUAACAUCAACAAUGAAUCAAUAAACCUUUUAAAUCAUUUUCAACACAUCACACGUGCAUCAAUAUAUAAUCAAGUUGCCUUUUAUUACCCCCUUUUCAGCAUUAGGAUCAUUCAAUAUGAACAAGUCAAUCCAUCAUCAAAUCUCAUUACUUCUUAACAAAUACCAUAAGGAAUUACACUAUUCAAUAUCGGCUACAACAAAAAGUGAAUCUCUACCAACCACCACACACUCGGAAUUUCCAAACCAACUUCACCGACAGAUCAAUAUAUAUGACUUGGAGCAACUAUAGGGAGGAGUAAACCGAUAAUUUUAUUUUAAAAAGUCCAAAAAUGACCUUGUGGGUCAUUACACAAUUCUCAUGUUAAUUGACUCAAAAGACACAUGUGUCUAGCUACUUGUGCAUACCCAUAGUUGGAAACAUGCAUAAAUGUCAGUUGAAGCAAAGUGAAAUGGCACAUUAUGUAUUAUGUCUUUAUUUUAUUCUCUAUUAUCAAUGUAGAUAAAUGAAUUUUGAUUGUCAUUAAUAAAAAAAGUUUAAAAUUUAUAUAGAAUAUAAAUAAAUAAUCUUUCAAGAUUUUUUAUGAAAUAUAUAUUUAAUUUUAUUAAUUAUUUUUUAAUAUUAAUGCAUCAAAAUAUGUUUAUAUGGCUAUCAUAUUAUAGAUAUUUUUAAAAUUAAUAAAUUUUAUUUUUAUUUUGUUCAUUCAAGAAUGACAUUAGCUUAUAUACUCAAUCAAUAUUUUUUAUUUUUUUAGAUUAAUAUUUUAUUAUAGGCUAUCUGUUAUACAAAUGAAAAAAUAAUAAUAUUGUGAUUUUAAAAAAGUAUUAAAAAAAAGAUAAAGAUUGAUAAUGUAGGGUAGAAUAAACAUUUAAUAAAGUCAAUAAUGAAAAUGGGGGAAAUUAAAUGUUUCUCAAAGUUGAAGGGGGAGUUUGAUCUUUAAAAUAAAGUUGGGUGUAUAAAUGAUUUUCGCGCUAUUUAAUUAGCCAAUGAUUUUGAUAGCCCAUGGUUUUGUACAAAAAGUGGUUUUUAGUUGUCUAUAUAAGUAGAGAGGACUGUGAACAAUUUUUAAAUCAAGAAAAGAAUUUCAGUAAAACCCUAAAAACUCUCAUUUUUCCCUUUUCUAAAACAGCCACAGGUAUCCCGUUCUUCAUAUUUUCCGGUGAGCUCCACCACCCAAACACCACCUCCGCCCCCCCUCCUCUCCUUGUUUGCUGCUACCAGUAACCAAACCAACAACAUCCCAGAACCACAACCUAACCAUAUAUAUUUUGGCUUUGUUUAAUUAAUUGUUGAUUUGUUGUCUUAAUGUUUUCGGUUAAAUUUUAUUGAUUGUUGUUAUUUUUUGAUGAAUGUGUUUAUAUUUUUGGCAAUUUUUAGAUCUUUAAUAUGUUUGGCUACUAUUUGUCCAUUACUUCAUCAUUGUUGCUCUAUUUUUUAGUUUUAAUUUUUGAAUUUUUUUUAAUGCUAUUUAUCAAUUGUUUCCGUCGAUUUGUACAAAUGACCAAUGAAAAAGAUCUCUCUAUCGAUUUUUGAGGUCUUCUCAUUUUUAAAGACGGAAAGUUUAGUUUAAGUUUAUAUAACACAUCAUACAUUAAAAGUUAAAAUUGAUUGAUGAAGAAAUUUUCAUCGAUUUCUAAGGCCUUCCAUUUUAAUAAAAUUUAAGGGGUUAUUUAUUCCACUUUAGAAUAGUCAGUCCCUUGUAAAGUAUAUGUGUGUUGUUAGAUAUCCGAUAAUAGAUUGAAAGACCAAAUAGUAGAUAUUGAAUCCCUUUAAUUUUGAUUACUAUUUUUUUGAUGCAUUUUUUAUUUGAUUCAUGAAAAAUAAAUUGUACAAGGCUACAGGCAUGGCACAUAUUCAUGUAUUAUGAUAGUUAUAAUUGUUCCUUUUUCAUACCCAAAUGUAGGACAACUAAAAAGCAAUAGUGUAGAUAUUUUGUUAGUUAAUUUUUUAUUUUAUUUUAUUGCAUAAAUAGAGUUUAAAUAAAAAGUUGUAAAAGGGAAGUGAUGGCAACAUGUCCUAAAUUUGGUUUUCACCAAGAAAUCAUAUCUCAUUCUUGGUCAAAAAAUAAAUUAAGGAUUUGUUACCAUCACUCUCUUUUCCAACUUUUAUUUAAAAUCUGUUGUUUUGGUAAUAAAAAAAAUCAAAAAACUAACUAACAAAAUAUCCACACUGUUGAGUUUUAAUUAUCCUACAUCGAAGAACAAUUUGAAUUUUUAUUAUAAUUACAUGAAUAAGUGUUAUACUUAUAGCCUUGUAAAGUUAAUUUUUCAUGUAUAGAGAAGUAGUUAACUGCAAGCAAACGACCAAACCCUAUUAUGUUUUAUGCAUUUUUAGUAUAUCUUUUUAUUAUAUGGUUUAUUGUAUUUCAAAGUUUACAAUUAUUGCAGGACAUCUUUUUAUUUCGAUCCCAACAAACAAGUUUUACAAAAAAUAUUUUAUAUUGAGGGUGUCCUCCUCACUCUCCAACCGCACCAAAUCUUCACUCCCACAAAGUUUACUUUAUAUUUAUGGUGGAUCGUUUUGUAUAUCUUUGUUGCUCAUCAUGUGUUUGUGUACAAAUUACCUAAAAGGCAAUUAGGGUCAAAUCUUUCUAUAAUAGCAACAUUUGUUUAAAAGUUUUAUGAUUAUAUUAUAGUGAGAUAUUGCUAUAUAUGUAUAUUAGUCUUUAACGUUUAGAUCUUAUUUAGAUACUAUAAACAAAAGUAUGUAAAAUUAGAAAGGAUGUGAAUGUAAAGAAUGGCAAACACUUAUAGUCUUUCCCCGUGAAGUUAUGGCCAUGUACCAUUACACAAUAUAUUUUUUUUUAUAAAUAUUUGUAUUUGAGUUUUACUAUGUUUAUUUAAUGAUGAAUUAAUUAAGGCCAAAAAAGAUAAUAAAAAGGUGAUGAAAACUUAGUUAAGCAACCACAACUGUAUAUAUAUCGAUGCGCGGCAAAUGGAAUAAAAAUUUUCUAACUUAACUUUAUAAAUUUCUUGCAAGUUUGUACCAAAAACAGAUAUAGAUAGUAAAAGUGUAAACAUUUGAUAUUAUAUUUCUCUUUUGACAUUCGAUACUCACUUUAAUUGAUUAAAUUUUAAGGGGUAAAACAUUUCUUAUAAAAAAUGAUUAUAAUUUUAGGGCACAAACUUAAAUCUUGUAGAUAAGAAAGGAGUACUUAUCGACCACUUCAUUUUGUGGUCUAAACUCUGAAGUGAAAAAGAUAGAUAUAGUUCUAAGCAUUGCCUAUAAAUAGUCAAUGGUGGAUCCAUGAUUUUAAUUGAAGGAGUUCGAAACAUAAAAAUAGAAUAUAGUGCUUGAAAUUUGAAACUUCAAGGUGCAUUUUAUCACCUAAACAACUGAUGCCAAUUCAUGUGUUCACAUAAUUCAGAAUCGAUCACUCCAUAUACAUAAAAAUUAAAAAAUUAUCUUCAUUUAUAGUGUAAUUUUUUGUAGAUGAGGUUCAGAUACACCUUCAUGAGACAUGAGGCCCUAGAUCCGCUCCUAUAUAUAUAUAUAUAGCUAGUGUCAAAAUUUCUUAUAAUACACGUCAAUGUAAGCAUAUCGUAUAAUGUUAUAAUAUCGUUAACUAGCUAUUUUUAAUACUCAAGCCCGCAGUCUAUAAUUAAAAAGGAACAAGUACAAACUACAAUCUUUAAGUUUAGUAGUUAAAACAUUUGAUGAUGACACUCUUUUUACUUUUUCUUACCAACUAAUUUGCAAGUAGAUAAUUCAGAAAAGUGUCAUUUUAUUAUACGAUAAUUUGUAAGUAAUCUAUAUAUAUAAUUUAAAUAAAAGGGUAGAAUUUAACAAAUUCAAAACCUUCAUAAAUGGACAAAGCCGGUCAACUAUAUUAAUUAAGUGGUUGAUAAUUUUCACACUAUUGCAUUAUUUAACUAAUACUUAAUCUGUCUCAAAAUACUUAUUAAUGUUUCAUUUCUUGAAAGUUAAUUUAACUAAAUUAAAUUAAAUUAAUAUGAUAUUUUCAACUUUUAGCUUAGAUGUUCAAGAACUUCAUGAAAAAUAUUACAAAUUGUAAUUUUUUCUAAUAUCAAUAUGGUAAAAAAAAACAUCUUAAAAGUUGAUCAAAGUACAUUUAAUUACUUUGCUACAAUAAAUUAAACAUGGUAUGUGGGUAAAUAUUUACCAUUAUUAGGACUCAAUUUAAUGAAUCAAUCGAGACGUAAGUAUGAUGUAAUUAGAUCACGUUAGAGUAUUGCUUUUGCUAAAUUUAUUAGCUCCACUAAUUUGAAAUUCCAUGGUGUAGUGUAGGAUAUAAAUUCUUAGUAAGAUUGAUUUAAAAUAUAAAAAGUAAAUACUGAUGAAAAAAAAAAUCAACAUAUAAUAAACAUAUAUAAAAAUAUAAAUAAAAGGUAACUUAUAGAAAUUUCACUAUUUUACAUUUAGGAGCUAAUUACUUAAAUGUACUCUAGUUUGCAAUAAGUAGAUUUUGGUACGUUUAGAUACAUGUAUCUCAAAAUAUAUAGGAUCAAAAUUAGGUGUCUUGAUACAUUGUAUCUAAAUGGAUUCACAUGUAUCUGAAAAACAAAGACAAACUCACAUCCUUUGCUUCCUUCACAUCUCGCACUCCACCAUCCAAUGUGUUUGUAUCGCAAAUACAUACGAAUCAGACCACACACAUAUAGAUACAUGUCUAGUAUGUAUCUAGUGUAAUUCAAUGUACCUGGGAUAUACAAAUCUCUCUCCCCACCUCACUCGCCUCUCUCUAUUUUAAUGUAUAUGUUGAUAGCAAAAAUACAUAUAUCUAAAUGUCUAUUCCUUAAUAUAAUAACCAUCCCCUCUUUGUGAUUUCACUACUUUAACUCUAAUCAGAAAUUCUACACGUUUUGUUUAUUAAUAUAAUAAAUGAUCUAAAAUAUCUUCUUGUUCUGGAUUCUUCAUCUUCUUUUUUUUAACAAAAAAAACUGCAACUCUACAAAUUGAUUAUUUCCACGAUUUUAUACACGUUAUGCAAUUGUAAAGAUAAGACAUUAACCAACAUGGGUUGUGGUGCACUGGUGGAAGUGUUUUAUCCUUAACCAGAGGUCUUGGGUUCGAGCCCUGGGUAUGGAGAAAGUCCUGUUGGGAGCGCUACCCCCGAAUGGGCCUUACAGAGCGCAAUCCGAAUUUAGUCGAAGCUUCAAUGUGGGCUCUGGACACCGGGUGGGAAAUCAAAAAGAAAAAGAUAAGACAUUAAAUACUUUGGUUAUGCUUCUAAUUGGUUUUGAGAUGGUGUGUUGAUCAUGGAUUCAAUACUCUUACUAUUGAAUCUGAUUUCAUGAUUGUGAUUAAUAUGAUCAACAAAGUCACGACAACUGCUUGGAGCAUCAUGGAAGAGAUCAAUGACAUUCAUUCUUUGUAAGGUAAUCUCACAAGUAGUUAGUGGAGGUAGAUAAGAUAGCUUGUUUUCGCUAGAUCCUCGACUCAAAAGAAAAUUAUCUUUGGGCUUCUUCAUAUUGGCCAUGCUCAGCUGAAACUAAUUCUGGCCAAUAUUCAAGUCCUUGGGCCUAAUACAACGAUAGCUCAAUUAUGGCAUCCUUAACCCAACUAUAUAGUUUGUUUUUAGCGUUUUAAUCCUCCGUUCACUUACUUAAAUAAGCAAUUUUUUGUACAAUUUUAUUCAGAGAGAGAAAUACAUAAAAUAUCUCAAACUUGUUCUUCAAGAUUUUCUGUGAAAUCUUUGAGAAAAUAAUCUUAUUUGAUUGGUUUAUUAUUUAUUUUUUUACGAAUGAAUAACCUAGUAAAUUAACUAAGUAAACUCAAAAAUCAGCAACAUCUUUAUAUUAGUGACUCAAAUCUUUAUACUUUUUUUUUAAAAGAAUCUUGACAAUUUUUAAAAUAAUAUAUGAUUGAAUGUGAACAGAUUCAGAAUAAACAAACCAAGAAGUAAAAUAAAGAAGAAUACUGCAAAGCAAAAAGGAAAAAAAGCACAAAGAUUAUAAUUAAGAAAGCUUGAUGAAGCAGAGAGCACUUAACGAGGCAUGACAAGGCAUGUUAAAUUUAGUGAAUUAGGGUUAGUCUUUCCCUUUCUGUUCCACUUUGUUUGUCAUCCUGUAAUUUUCGCGUAUUUAUUUUUUCAUAUUUUGAAUCCUUUAAUAAAAACUUUAUUUUCACCACAUAUGGUGUGAUACAACACUUAAAUAGUUGCAAUCAUAUAUAUAUCUGAAUUAUAGAUUUAUAGCCUCUUACAAUCAUUGUAAAUCAAUCCAUGUGGAUCAAAUUGACUUGCAAAGUGACCAUAUAAUAUUUGUGGGAAGCAUUGAAGAUCAAGUACAAAGAGCACCACCCAAGAGUGAGGGUGCAAGGCAAGUCUAAGUAGUAAGAAGAAAAUGAUACAAUGCAAUGGAAAGUGUAAUGAUGUAUAUCUGACCUAGCGAUACACAAUUGUUGUCUUUUAGUCUGGGACUCAUAGGGGACAUAUUUGUCUAUGCAUUCGUCACGGCGUAGACACAACUCUCGAUAAUAAAAUCCGUUGUGACAUACGACACGUACUUCAAAUCAUAAUAUCAAUUGCGGCGGACGACACGUCCCUCGAAUUGGUACAUCCUUUUAAUUCCUUAUUCCUCCUCAAUUCAUAUAACACGUGUCACAAUCAUGUCUCUGAACCAAUGCAAAUGACAUGUUCACCCAAAUAAUGAUAAAUGUCUAUUUCCAUAUCAAUGCACAAUUCACAACAACACAAUCGUGAUAUAACAUCAACAAUGAAUCAAUAAACCUUUUAAAUCAUUUUCAACACAUCACACGUGCAUCAAUAUAUAAUCAAGUUGCCUUUUAUUAUCCCCCUUUCAGCAUUAUGAUCAUUCAAUAUGAACAAGCCAACCCAUCACCAAGUCUAAUUACUUCCUAACAAAUAUCACAAGGAAAUACACGAUUCAAUAUCGGCUACAACCAAAAGUGAAUUUGAACAAACCACUACACACUCGAAAUUUUCAAACCAACUUCACUGAUUGAUCAGAAAUGACUUAGGGCCACUAUCGGGAGGGGUAAACCGAUAAUUUUACAAAAAAAUCCAAAAAUGACCUUGCAGGUCAUUACACAUUUCUCAUGUUAAUUGAUACAUCGGACACAUGUGUCUACUUGUGCAUACCCAGGAUUGGAAACAUAAAUGUCAUUUGAAGCGAAGUGAAAUGACACAUUAUUUAUUAUGUCUAUCUUUUAUUCUCUAUUAUCGAUGUAGAUAAAUGAAUUUUGAUUGUCAUAAAUAAAUAUAAAUUAAAUUAAAAUAUAAAAUUUAUUUACAAUAUAAAUAAAUAAUCUUUAAGAUUUUUAUGAAAUAUAUCUUUAAUUUUAUUAAUUAUUUUUUAAUUAAUGCAUCAAAAUAUGUUUAUAAGGCUAUCAUAUUAUAGAUAUUCUUAAAAUUAAUAAAAAAAAAUUAUUUUGUUCAUUUGAGAAUGACAUUAGCUUAUACACUCAAUCAAUAUUUUUUAUUUUUUCGGAUUAAUAUUUUAUUAUAGGAUAUUUGUUAUACAAAUGAAAAAAUAAUAAUAUGUGAUUUUAAAGAAGUAUAAAAAAAAGAUAAAGAUUGAUAAUGUAGGGUUGAAUAGACAUUUAAUAAAGUCAAUAAUGAAAAGGGAGGAAAAUGAAUGUUUCUCAAAGUUGAAGGGGGAGUUUGAUCUUUAAAGUAAAGUUUGGGGUAUAAAUGAUUUUUGCGCUAUUUAAUUAACCAAUGGUUUUGAUAGCCCGUGGUUUUAGCCCAUUGAUUAGUAUAAAAAGUGGUUUUUAGUUAUCUAUAUAAGUAGAGAGGAUAGUGAACAAUUUUCAGAUCAAGAGAAGAAUUUCAGUAAAAUUCUAAAAACUCUCAUUUUUCCCUUUUCUAAAACAGCCACAGUUAUCCCGUUCUUCAUAUUUUCCGGUGAGCUCCACCACCUAAACACCACCUCCCCUCCCCCCCCCGCCUCUCCUAGUUUGCUGCUACCAGUAACCAAACCAACAACAGCCCAAAACCACAACCUAACCAUAUAUUUUUUGGCUUUGUUUAAUUAAUUGUUGAUUUGUUGUCUUAAUAUUUUGGGUUAAAUUUUAAUGAUUAUUGUUAUUUUUUAGUGAAUGUGUUUAUAUUUUUUGCAAUUUUUAGAUCUUUUAUAUGGUUAGCUACUAUUUGUUCAUUACUUCAUCAUUGUUGCUCUAUUUUUUUAGUUUUAAUUGUUGAAUUUUUUAAUGUUAUUUAUCAAUUAUUUUCGUCGAUUUGAACAAAUGACCAAUGAAAAAAUCUCUCUGUUGAUUUUUGAGGUCUUCUCAUUUUUAAAGACGGAAAUUUUAGUUCAAGUUUAUAUAACAGAUCAUACAUUACAAGUUAAAAUUGAUUGAUGAAGAAUUUUUCAUCUAUUUCUAAGGUCUUCUAUCUUAAUAAAACUUACGGGGUUACUUAUUCCAUUUUAGAAUAGUCUCCUGUAAAGUAUAAGUCUGUUGUUGGGCAUCCGAUAAUAGAUUGGAAAACCAAAUAGUAGAUAUUGAAUCCCUCUAAUUUUGAUUACUAUUAUUUUGAUGCAUUUUUUAUUUGAUUCAUGAAAAAUAAAUUGUACAAGGCUACAAGCAUUACACAUAUUCAUGUAUUAUGAUGGUUGAAAUUGUUUCUUUUUCAUACCCAAAUGUAGGACAAUUAAAAAUCAAUAGUGUAGAUAUUUUGUUAGUUAAUUUUUAUUUUAUUUUAUUACAUAAAUAGAGUUUAAAUAAAAUGUUGUAAAAGGAAAGUGAUGUCAACAUGUCCUAAAUUUGGUUUUCACCAAGAAAUCAUAUCUCAUUCUUGGUCAAAAAUAAAUUAAGGAUUUGUUGCCAUCACCCCCUUUUCCAACUUUUAUUUAAAAUCUGUUGUUUGGGUAAUAAAAAAAAUCAAAAAAUUAACCAACAAAAUAUUCACAUCGUUGAUUUUUAAUUAUCCUACAUCUAAGAACAAUUUGAAUUUAUCAUAAUUACAUGAAUAAGUGUUAUACUUAUAGCCUUGUAAAAUUAAUUUUUCAUGUAUAGAAAAGUAGUUAACCGCAAGCAAACACUUAAAGAAAAACAGUAAAAAAAUAAUCCCUACAAGAAAAAAUAUAAUUAAAAAAUAAUCUUUCGGAGGUUAGGUUUUAAAAAUAUAUUUUCUUAACAAAAUAUAAUUGACCUUCAGAGUUAAAAAAAAAAGAAGACCUUUAGAGGUCGAUUUUUUAAUAGCAAUAUCCACAAUGUAAUUAUUAAGAAAGUUUUUGUAAUGAAGAUUGAAGAGAUUAUACUCUUAUAGUUUAAUAUUUUUUUUUAUAUUAGUUUCACAUAUAUAGGUCAAUUUUGACCAAACCCUAUUAUUAUGUUUUAUGUAUCUUUAGUAUAUCUUUUUAUUAUAUGAUUUAUUGUAUUUCAAAGUUUAUAAUUAUUGAUCUCCGCAGGACAUUUUUUUAUUUCGAUCCCAACAAACAAGUUUUACAAGAAAUAUUUUAUAUUGACGGUGUCCUCCUCACUCUCCAACCACAUCAAAUCUUCACUCCCACAAAGUUUACUUUAUAUUUAUGGUGGAUCGUUUUGUAUAUCUUUGUUGCUCAUCAUGUGUUUGUGUACAAAUUACCUAAAAGGCAAUUAGGGUUAAAUCUUUCUAUAAUAGCAACAUUUGUUUAAAAGUUUUAUGAUUAUAUUAUAGUGAGAUAUUUCUAUAUAUGUAUAUUAAUAUUUAACGUUUAGAUCUUAUUUAGAUAUUAUAAACAAAAGUGUGUGAAAUUAGAAAGGAUGUGAAUGUAAAGAAUGACAAGCACUUAUAGUCUUUUCUCGUGAAGUUAUGGCCAUGCACCAUUACACAAUAUAUAUAUUUUAGUGAAUAUUUGUGCUUGAGUUUUACUAUGUUUAUGCCAUAAUGAUGAUUUACAUGAAUAUUUGAAUAUUUUAUUUUAUACAUAAUGUAAUUUUAAAAAAAUAUUAUGACGCAAUAGUUAAGUAUAACUGUUAUAGAAAAGUAAUUUUACAAAUAGUGUAUUACUCAAAUGAAGAAUAUUAUUUUUGUUAUACAGAAGUAAAAUAUAAUAUGAAGAAAAACUGUUAAAGUGAAAUACCAUUGUAACAAAUAACAGUUAUACUUAUAACGAUGUUUGACUUGUAUUUGACGACUAUCUAAAAUAGCUUUCAUUUCUCACUCAACCAUAGCCUUUUGCAAUGAUGAUUUUUUUUUUCACAUGAAAAUAAUUAAAGUUCAAUUAGUUUUAGAAUUGUGACUUUUUUUUUAAUUAAUAUUAAAAAAAAAUUAGCAACCACAAAAAGGGUUAAUUGUGAAUUAACCAACAAACAAUGAUUUGAGUGGCUUGUUACCUAGUAGUAGGGGUGGGC